UAACCAAUAAGAUUUUGGGUGCGGUUUAUUUCAGUUUAUUUAAUAUUGCCAAAUAAUUGAUAUGUAUGUAAACGUUAAUUAUGUAUUUCUUCCGUUAAGUUAUUUACAUACAAAUGUAAACAUCUAAGAUAUAUUGUAGCAGAAAGAUAACACGAUGAAUAAAAAUACUCGUGAAACAACGCCAGGUGAUGGCUUGCGAUCAUUGCGGAGUACUACAUUAUUUCGUGCCGUUAAUUUCGAGUUAUAUGUUAAGCCGAACAAAACCAUCAUGAUCCUUGGUAUCAUAGCAAUGUUAAGUUGUUCUGGAUAUAUAUUUUAUAUGAAUGCUAAUGAAAAGAGGAAUGAUUAUCAUAUUAUGGUUAAAUCAGACGAAACUUUGGAAUUAGUGAAAAAAGUGUCCAAGUGGACUGAUUAAAUUUGAGAAAUGAAUUUGUGCGUCUAAAGACACAUACAUAACUUUUCUAAGAUACGACUAUAUACAUUAAUCUAUAAUUGUUACAAAUCUGCAACAUAUAAAAUCACUGUACAAUGAAUUUUUUAUCGGUAAAAUUGUAUUAUAAAUAAAAAUAAAAAUUUAUCGAAA